rnacentral:rRNA from 1 species
GCCCCAGACUCCUACGGGAGGCAGCAGUGGGGAAUAUUGGGCAAUGGGCGCAAGCCUGACCCAGCAACGCCGCGUGAAGGAAGAAGGCUUUCGGGUUGUAAACUUCUUUUCUCAGGGACGAAGCAAGUGACGGUACCUGAGGAAUAAGCCACGGCUAACUACGUGCCAGCAGCCGCGGUAAUACGUAGGUGGCAAGCGUUGUCCGGAUUUACUGGGUGUAAAGGGCGUGCAGCCGGAGAGACAAGUCAGAUGCGAAAUCCGCAGGCUCAACCUGCGAACUGCAUUUGAAACUGUUUCCCUUGGGUAUCGGAGAGGUCAUCGGAAUUCCUAGUGUAGCGGUGAAAUGCGUAGAUAUUAGGAAGAACACCAGUGGCGAAGGCGGAUGACUGGACGACAACUGACGGUGAGGCGCGAAAGCGUGGGGAGCAAACAGGAUUAGAUACCCGUGUA